rnacentral:tRNA from 1 species
GGACCCUUAGCUCAGUUGGUUAGAGCAUCCGGCUCAUAACCGGACGGUCGAAGGUUCGAGUCCUUCAGGGUCCACCA